UACGUAGGGUGCGAGCGUUUGUCCGGAAUUACUGGGCGUAAAGAGCUCGUAGGUGGUUUGUCGCGUUUGUCCGUGAAAACUCACAACUCAAUUUGUGGGCGUGCGGGCGAUACGGGCAGACUGGAGUACUGCAGGGGAGACUGGAAUUCCUGGUGUAGCGGUGGAAUGCGCAGAUAUCAGGAGGAACACCGGUGGCGAAGGCGGGUCUCUGGGCAGUAACUGACGCUGAGGAGCGAAAGCGUGGGGAGCGAA
rnacentral:rRNA from 1 species